GCCGGGCAUGGUGGUGCAUGCCUGUAAUCCCAGCUACUCAGGAGGCUGAGGCAGGAGAAUCGCUCGAACCCGGGAGGCAGAGGUUGCAGUGAGCCAAGAUCUUGCCACUGCACUCCAGCCUGGGUGACAGAGCGAGACUCCGUCUAAA
rnacentral:sRNA from 1 species